rnacentral:rRNA from 1 species
UACGUAUGGUGCAAGCGUUAUCCGGAUUUACUGGGUGUAAAGGGAGCGCAGGCGGCGCGUUAAGCCUGGUGUGAAAGCCCGCGGCCCAACCGCGGGACUGCAUUGGGAACUGGCGCGCUGGAGUGCCGGAGGGGUAGGCGGAAUUCCUAGUGUAGCGGUGAAAUGCAUAGAUAUCACGCAGAACUCCGAUUGCGAAGGCAGCGUACCGGCGCCCAACUGACGCUGAAGCACGAAGGCGUGGGGAGCGAACAGG